rnacentral:rRNA from 1 species
UACGGAGGGUGCGAGCGUUGUCCGGAAUCACUGGGCGUAAAGGGCGCGUAGGUGGCCCGUUAAGUGGCUGGUGAAAUCCCGCGGCUCAACUGCGGGGCUGCCGGUCAUACUGGCGAGCUAGAGCACGGUAGGGGCAGAUGGAAUUCCCGGUGUAGCGGUGGAAUGCGUAGAGAUCGGGAAGAAUACCAGUGGCGAAGGCGUUCUGCUAGGCCGUUGCUGACACUGAGGCGCGACAGCGUGGGGAGCAAACAGG